AGUGAACGCUGGCGGUAGGCCUAACACAUGCAAGUCGAACGGCAGCACAGGAGAGCUUGCUCUCUGGGUGGCGAGUGGCGGACGGGUGAGGAAUACAUCGGAAUCUACUUUUUCGUGGGGGAUAACGUAGGGAAACUUACGCUAAUACCGCAUACGACCUACGGGUGAAAGCAGGGGACCUUCGGGCCUUGCGCGAUUGAAUGAGCCGAUGUCGGAUUAGCUAGUUGGCGGGGUAAAGGCCCACCAAGGCGACGAUCCGUAGCUGGUCUGAGAGGAUGAGCAGCCACACUGGAACUGGGACACGGUCCAGACUCCUACGGGAGGCAGCAGUGGGGAAUAUUGGACAAUGGGCGCAAGCCUGAUCCAGCCAUACCGCGUGGGUGAAGAAGGCCUUCGGGUUGUAAAGCCCUUUUGUUGGGAAAGAAAUCCAGCUGGCUAAUACCCGGUUGGGAUGACGGUACCCAAAGAAUAAGCACCGGCUAACUUCGUGCCAGCCGCCGCAGUAA
rnacentral:rRNA from 1 species